GACGAACGCUGGCGGCGUGCUUAACACAUGCAAGUCGAACGGUAAGGCCCUUCGGGGUACACGAGUGGCGAACGGGUGAGUAACACGUGGGUGAUCUGCCCUGCACUUCGGGAUAAGCUGGGAAACUGGGUCUAAUACCGGAUAGGACCACUGCCUGCAUGGGUGGUUGUGGAAAGCAUUUGCGGUGUGGGAUGGGCCCGCGGCCUAUCAGUUUGAUGGUGGGGUGAUGGCCUACCAAGGCGACGACGGGUAGCCGGCCUGAGAGGGUGACCAGCCACACUGGGACUGAGAUACGGCCCAGACUCCUACGGGAGGCAGCAGUGGGGAAUAUUGCACAAUGGGCGCAAGCCUGAUGCAGCGACGCCGCGUGAGGGAUGACGGCCUUCGGGUUGUAAACCUCGUUCAGCACCGACGAAGCGCAAGUGACGGUAGGUGCAGAAGAAGGACCGGCCAACUACGUGCCAGCCGCCGCCGAAA
rnacentral:rRNA from 1 species